rnacentral:rRNA from 1 species
GAUGAACGCUGGCGGCGUGCCUAAUACAUGCAAGUCGAGCGAACAGACGAGGAGCUUGCUCCUCUGACGUUAGCGGCGGACGGGUGAGUAACACGUGGAUAACCUACCUAUAAGACUGGGAUAACUUCGGGAAACCGGAGCUAAUACCGGAUAAUAUAUUGAACCGCAUGGUUCAAUAGUGAAAGACGGUUUUGCUGUCACUUAUAGAUGGAUCCGCGCCGCAUUAGCUAGUUGGUAAGGUAACGGCUUACCAAGGCGACGAUGCGUACCCGACCUGAGAGGGUGAUCGGCCACACUGGAACUGAGACACGGUCCAGACUCCUACGGGAGGCAGCAGUAGGGAAUCUUCCGCAAUGGGCGAAAGCCUGACGGAGCAACGCCGCGUGAGUGAUGAAGGUCUUCGGAUCGUAAAACUCUGUUAUUAGGGAAGAACAAAUGUGUAAGUAACUAUGCACGUCUUGACGGUACCUAAUCAGAAAGCCACGGCUAACUACGUG